GCUUUCAGUUUUUGAGGCAGGGGCCUGUGGCACUAAAACAGAGCCGACGGGGCUUACGGUGUUCAAAGUGUUGGAACACCUGGGUGGCUCAGUGAAGUGUCCGACUUCAGCUCCAGGGUUUGUGAGUUCGAGCCGUGUGUCCCGGCUCUGUGCUGACAGCUCGGAGUCUGGAGCCUGCUUCGGAGUCUGUGUCUCCCUCUCUCUCAAAAGUAAACAUUAAAAAUUAAAAAAAAAAAAAAAAGUGUAAGUGGGAAGAGGAAAGGCCUGGGAAGAGCAUUCUGGAAACUGUGGCUGUCCAUCCAUCCUGCUGCUUAGAGAAAAUACCUUUUGAGGGCGCUUGAAAAUACAAAUACUGAUACUAAGAGGCAACGCCCUAAGCCAGAGAUAAAAGAAUUAACACAGAGAAGUGCACACUGGGUUAAAGAUAGCCACAGAUCCGCACCGUCCUUUGCCUUGAGAGGUAGAGUCUGAUCUGCCUCCCUUUGAAUCUGGUCUGGGCUUGGUGCCUUGCUUGACCAAUGGAAUGCAGAAGUCCCAAGUAGGCUAGGUCCCAAGUAGGCUAGGUCCCAAGUAGCCUUGUGGCUUCUAGUCUAUCGCCCUUAGAGCAGCUUGUUGUUGGGACGCUCCCUCUGGGCACCCAGCCUCCAUGCUGUGUGAAGCCCAAGCCGCUUGGAGAGGCCACGUGUGGACUGGUCAACGUGUGCAGCUGAACCCCUAGCUGAAAGCCAGCGUCGGCUGACAGCUACGAGUGAGCCAUCUUGGACGUGGAGCCCAGUCGAGUCUUCAGAUGGGAGCAGCCCCCGAAGACGCUUAGCUGACGUACCAGCGUGAGCGCAGCCUAGCUGAACCUAAUCAAGCCACACAACCGUAAAGGAUCAGCUUAAACGUUGUGAUUUAAGCCAUGGCAUUCUGGAGUGGUUAAUCGUUCAGCAAAAGAUUACUGGAAUAUGUACGUGGUCCUUGUGCUCUGUUGGUAGAAGGAGCCUACAACUGCAGAGGCUUAAAUCUGAAGAAUUGCCAGAAUGCUAGGAAGCCCACAGCCAAAUCAAGGGAAACUUCUAAAUCCUACAAGAUGCAUGGCAAGCAGAUAUUCUAUUGCCUAACACAACGGGCAGCAGACGCCAUAUGAUACACAUCUGGUAUCAGAGAAGCUCAUUAAGGGAACCCUUUGGUCUUCCAUUAGUUCAGCCAGACUGGGUCUUCAGACUUGCCUGGGCAAAUCAGGGGCUGCAUUCCAUACACUCGCAGUAGCUGAGAAAACAUACUACCUUGCCCUUAUCGGUGACAAGUGGUCGGAAAUGGAGCCAUCCUUCCUUUGCAGCAUCACUGAAAACCUCUGAGGAAGAAUCUUUCCUGGACCCAGAGUCUUCUGAUGACUUCUGGCUGUCUGUGAUCUACAGAGAAGGUCAAGAAAAUAUAGUAAAAUAUCCUUUUCCUUUAUAAAUAUUUGCACAUGGAAAUUGCUUUACUGAAAACAACUCUUUUUUAUUGUUUAUUUUUGGGAGAAAGAGAGAGAGGGAGAGACAGCCGUGUGAGUGGGGAAGGGGCAGAGAGAGAAAGAGAUCUGAAGCGGGGUCUAUGCUGACAGCACAGAGCCCGAUGCAGGGCUUGAACUCAUGAACCAUGAGAUCAUGGCCUUGAGCCUAAGUCAGAAACUUAACUGACUGAGCCACCCAGGCGCCCCUGAAAAAAAUCUUUAACGUUCCAAAAUGAAUGGUUAUUUUUGAAGAAUACCAACUUUAUCAAUUCCGUUAGAAAAUGUUCUGGUCUUGUUGCAAAAAAAAACCCCAAAACACGUGAAUUGUGAAUUGACUUCCAUCAUUUUUUAAAGGUCUUCUGUAGGAAGUUUUUCAUCUUUAAAAAAAUAACAGAAAUAGUAUAAUGUUCCUGCUCUCGAGAGCUCACAUUUUCGUGAGCAAAGACAAAUCAGAAUAAAAAAUAAAAACAAGAAAAUGAUCAGAUUGUGAUUAGUACCAUUUGGGAAAGGAAAACCGAGAUGUUGUAACAAAUGACUGAGUAGCGGCUGUAAGUUCAAGGCCUACUGAAGGAAGAAUAUUUAAGAUGAAAUAUGGAGGAAAGGGGCCAUCCAUGAUAGGUCAGGAAAAAGAACAGUUCAGGGAGAAUGUAUAGCUAAUGAAUGUACAUUCAUCAUUAUCGCUUCAGGGCGUGUUCUGGAGGUACAGUGAAUAACACUUGAUAUGGGGGAGGGUGAAAAAGAAGGAACAAGGCUAACUCCCAGUUUGGGGGCUUGAAAUCUGGGUGAAGUGGACCUAGUGGGAUGAGGAAAACUGGAUAAACAUGUCUGGGGUAUAACCCAGAUCUAUUUGGCCACUAAACCUUGAUUGCUUAUUAAACACCCAAAUAAAGAUGUCAAAAGGGUAGCAGCCUACAUGAGCUGCAGCUUGGGGAAGAGGCCAACGCUAGCAGUAUAAACUGUGGGAGAUCUCUGGAAAAGAUCAUGUUGGCAAUGGGGGCAGAUAGAGAUGAAAGACGGGUCAGAACCAGUUCUAGACAUUCCAACAUUUUAAAUGUUAGAAUGGCAGAGGCAGAAAUGGAAACCAGCAGAAGAAAGCGUUUUAGAAAGGCAGCGGGAAAUGGUGUUGGAUACUACUGGAAGGUCAAAGAAGUUAAAAAUCGAAAAUAACCGUUAGUUUGGGGACCUUGAACAUCACUGGUAAUCUUGGCAUGAGCAGUGUCAUUCUGGUAUGUGUGGGGUGAGAAAGAUGUGACGUGAGGAAGUGGACCGACUGGCCAUUUUUUUCAAGCAGUUUUGCUGUGAACAGUGGAAGAGAAAAUAUGAGUAGGAAAUAGAGGGGGAUGUAGAUUCAAGGAAGGUUUGUUUGUUUGUCUUUUAAAUAUAGCAAAUAGUAGAACGUGCUCAUAUGAUGGUGAAUGAGCCACUGGCAAGAGCGAUUCUGCAGAGGGGAGAACGAUCUCGAGAAAGGGAAAAGUGAUAGAAUCCAAAGAAAUGUGGAUGUAGGCUUUUAACCGGAUCAUGUUCCCAGUAAACAGAUACUUAAGAGUAACGAAGGCAGAAACCGUGGGUGCAAAUGAAGAUGGCUGAGAUUUCUGGAGAAUGUGAAACAAGGAAAUUCCUGUCUAACAGCCUUCUGUGUGUGUUGUCAACAAAGUAGGAAGGGAGAGCAGACGAGAGAGGACGGGGGGAACUGUACGGAGGAAAGCGGAGGGUAGGAGUGAAAUGAUAAUUUUGAGGAAAGAAAAAUAUGCAUACGGCAAGAUACAGGGUGGCUGGGUAGUUCGAUUUUUGGCCGUAAACUGAUAGAGUGAGAAAAAUCAGCACAAUGUGUGUAAGUAUAUAUAUUGAUGAAUACGUUUAGAAAUUAGAAAAGACCACCUUAUAAAUAAUAUUUUCCAAAUGCACCUGAAAGGGACAGAAUAUAGGAUAAUAGCAAUAAUUCCCUGUGAAGAGCCAAAGUAAACUAAGGUAAAUAGAAACACUUAUCAUUUGCUGAUAUUUAAAAAAUAUUGAAUACCAACCUUGAUUCCCUUCAGGCUAGAAACGUGCUUAAAGGACCUGUUGGAAAGAAAUGUAUAAAUAUUUGCCAUAAAUGCAUAAAACACCUUAGAGAUGUAAAAACAAAUUGAGUGUCACAAGUUAGUUUUCAAUAAUAAGCUGAUGUUUCAUCACUACCAUGUUAAAUGCUCACUGUUCAAUGCAAAUGAGACAAACAGCUAAUUUUCUAAAUACUUACACUUUUGAUUCCAUGCUAGAAGCUUUCUUAGUGGAUCUGGUCAAUUAAAAUGGUUUCUGCAUAAA